UCCGAGUUGACCCCGGCAGUCCCCUAUGAGUCCCCGCCAUCACGCGCUGGCAACAUAGAACGAGGGUUGCGCUCGUUGCGGGACUUAACCCAACAUCUCACGACACGAGCUGACGACAACCAUGCACCACCUGUGCAGGACCCUUGCGGACCCCCCAUCUCUGGAGGAUUUCCCUGCAUGUCAAGCCUUGGUAAGGUUCUUCGCGUUGCGUCGAAUUAAGCCACAUGCUCCGCUGCUUGUGCGGGCCCCCGUCAAUUCCUUUGAGUUUUAGCCUUGCGGCCGUACUCCCCAGGCGGGGCACUUAAUGCGUUAGCUACGGCACGGAGGGCGUUGAUAACCCCCCAGCGCCGGGUCCACAUCGUUUACAGCGUGGACUAC
rnacentral:misc_RNA from 1 species